rnacentral:rRNA from 1 species
UACGGAGGGGGCUAGCGUUGUUCGGAAUUACUGGGCGUAAAGCGUACGUAGGCGGCUUUGUAAGUCAGAGGUGAAAGCCCACGACUCAAUCGUGGAACUGCCUUUGAGACUGCUUCGCUUGAAGAUGGGAGAGGUUAGUGGAAUUCCGAGUGUAGAGGUGAAAUUCGUAGAUAUUCGGAAGAACACCAGUGGCGAAGGCGGCUAACUGGACCAUUCUUGACGCUGAGGUACGAAAGCGUGGGGAGCAAACAGGAUUAGAUACCCUGGUAGUCCACGCCGUAAACGAUGAUAACUAGCUGUCGGGGCUCUUAGAGCUUCGGUGGCGCAGCUAACGCAUUAAGUUAUCCGCCUGGGGAGUACGGCCGCAAGGUUAAA